AGAGUUUGAUCCUGGCUCAGAUUGAACGCUGGCGGCAGGCCUAACACAUGCAAGUCGAGCGGUAGAGAGAAGCUUGCUUCUCUUGAGAGCGGCGGACGGGUGAGUAAUGCCUAGGAAUCUGCCUGGUAGUGGGGGAUAACGUUCGGAAACGGACGCUAAUACCGCAUACGUCCUACGGGAGAAAGCAGGGGACCUUCGGGCCUUGCGCUAUCAGAUGAGCCUAGGUCGGAUUAGCUAGUUGGUGAGGUAAUGGCUCACCAAGGCGACGAUCCGUAACUGGUCUGAGAGGAUGAUCAGUCACACUGGAACUGAGACACGGUCCAGACUCCUACGGGAGGCAGCAGUGGGGAAUAUUGGACAAUGGGCGAAAGCCUGAUCCAGCCAUGCCGCGUGUGUGAAGAAGGUCUUCGGAUUGUAAAGCACUUUAAGUUGGGAGGAAGGGCAGUUACCUAAUACGUGAUUGUUUUGACGUUACCGACAGAAUAACCACCGGCUAACUCUGUGCCAGCAGCCGCGGUAAUAC
rnacentral:rRNA from 1 species